rnacentral:snoRNA from 1 species
GAACCAUGUAUAGGACAUUUUCUAAGUAAUUCAUUAAAUCUUUCCCAGGCUUCGUAAAAUGUUUCAUCUUUUGAUUUUCGAAAAGAUGUGAUGUCAUUUCUAAGCUU